rnacentral:tRNA from 1 species
GCUGAUUUGGCCGAGUGGUCUAAGGCGAUGGUUUUAAGUCAUCUCAACGUAAAGUUGUGCUGCUACACCAUUAUCGAAAGAUGCGUGAGUUCGAACCUCACAGUCAGCA